rnacentral:RNase_P_RNA from 2 species
CCAGAGGGCCGGGCGGCCGCCGGUUCCCCUUCGUGGGGGACGGGAGGAAAGUCCGGGCUCCAAGAAGCAACGGUGCCGGGUAACACCCGGCGGCCCCGGCGCAGGCCGGGGUUAGGGACAGUGCCACAGAAAGCAUACCGCCCGGCGGGCUUCGGCUCCGGGUAAGGGCGAAAGGGUGCGGUAAGAGCGCACCGCGGGCCGGGUAACCGGAACGGCAUGGUAAACCCCACCGGGAGCAAGACCGAAUAGGGACGGCAUAUGGGCUCGCUUCGCCCCGUCGUCCGGGUUGGUUGCUUGAGACCGCGGGCAACCGCGGUCCUAGAGGAAUGGUCGCCCAUCCGGCUUCGUGCCGGUGGACAGAACCCGGCUUAUAGGCCCUCUGGCGUU